GGGGGUUGGUGGAAGGAUGGUCUAAACCGUUGGUUUUCGACCACUACGACCCGGGUUCGAUUCCCGCAUUUGGCA
rnacentral:tRNA from 1 species